CACCAAGUGAAUUGAUGCAGCAACUUUCAACAGAGGAGCUUUUGAAGUCUGAGAAACACGUGUGCAGGAUGGAAUAAUCUUUGUGAAAGAGGAGGCACAGCUAUCCAGAGAAUAUGAGCAGAAUAAGUGCUAACAACGAAAGUACCUGGGAUCUAAUGGCUAUAUCAUUCAUGGAGAUGAGGCGAACAAAGGAAUGAGGAGGAGUUUGGAAGAGUUGUACAGUCCACAGAACUUGCAAGUUGCAAUAACUAUCUAUGACAGAUAUCUUACCACUGCUGUCAUAGGCGCCGUGGACACCACUACUCUUGAAUGUAAGAUACUGUAUGAGAACGUCAACGUCCUGUUGAUCAAGUAAGGUCCAGAAGUUGAAGAGGGGCCUCCAUUGUCUACUUAAACUUUAUUGAGCACCCUCUCCUGAACAAUAUGCUGGCCUUUGCUAGAGUUUGACAUUGAAUCUUGGUGUAUUUGUAGGCUCUUCUUUUUUUUAAAGCACAUAAUAUUCCACUCAAUUGUAGGGGUUGGGACAUGUUUCUGAUUGUCUUAAUAAUGGGUUGAUCUGUGCGCUCCUUUUUGAGCUACACCGAGCAGCAAAGUGGUUUCAUUUAGUUCAUUCAGGUUAUGGUCUUCAAUUUCAAUGAUGGGAGAAAGCAGUUCAAACCCAAGCUACAAAUGAUCUGGAGUGAAGUUAACAGGUUUUGUAGAUUGCCUUAAUAAUUAUAAUUUGGCUUGCAUUGCCUAAAACUGUUCAAUCACAUAGUUUUAUAUUGAAUGAAUUUAUUCAGUCUUGAGUUUUUAGCACCUAAAUAAACUGUUUAGAUGAGUUUAGUGUGUUAAAACCAAAUGAAAAGGUUUAAGGCAAUCAUUUUCCUGAAAUGAAUUGAAUAGCUACAACAAAGUUUUAAGUUGUCACAACAAGAAUGGUUGAAGUAGUUUCAAGUCAUCGUUCUUCUCAAACAUUUUGAGGGAUAUUUUGUUUUACAAUGCACUGU